rfam:Schistosoma mattheei strain Denwood, Zambia genome assembly, scaffold: SMTD_scaffold0000307
GCACUGCUGAGGAGUCCUACAAUGGGACGAAACGGUCGUGCGGUGC